rnacentral:rRNA from 1 species
CGCGUAGGCGGGGAUGUAAGUCAGACGUGAAAUCCCGGGGCUCAACCUCGGAACAGCAUUUGAAACUACAUCUCUCGAGGGUAGGCGGAGAAGACGGAAUUCCACAAGUAGCGGUGAAAUGCGUAGAUAUGUGGAAGAACACCGGUGGCGAAGGCGGUUUUCUAGCUUAUUCCUGACGCUAAAGCGCGAAAGCAAGGGGAUCAAACA